rnacentral:rRNA from 1 species
CCCUUAGAGUUUGAUCCUGGCUCAGAACGAACGUUGGCGGCGUGGAUUAGGCAUGCAAGUCGAACGAAUCCCGGGGGGCAACUCCCGGGGGAAGUGGCGAAAGGGGCAGUAAGGCAUGGGUAACCUACCCCGAGGACCGGGAUAGCCCUCCUAACGGAGGGGUAAUACUGGGCGACCUGGCGAGGGGGCAUCUUCUUGCCAGCAAAGGAAUUUCGCCCCGGGAGGGGCUCAUGUGCUAUUAGCUUGUUGGCGGGGUAACGGCCCACCAAGGCGAAGAUGGCUAGCGGGUGUGAGAGCACGACCCGCGCCACUGGCACUGUGACACUGGCCAGACUCCUACGGGAGGCUGCAGUCGAGGAUCUUCGGCAAUGGGCGCAAGCCUGACCGAGCGACGCCGCGUGUGCGAUGAAGGCCUUCGGGUUGUAAAGCACUGUCGAGGGGGAGGAAAGCCCGCAAGGGCCUGACCUAUCCCUGGAGGAAGCACGGGCUAAGUUCGUGCCAGCAGCCGCGGUAAGACGAACCGUGCGAACGUUGUUCGGAAUCACUGGGCUUAAAGGGCGCGUAGGCGGGUUCUCCA